AAAUAUAUGUAAUAAUAAUAAAUAACAUUAUAAAAAUAAUAAUGCAAUAACAAUAUCGGUAAUAUAAAAAAAAAAAACUAAAGUAAACCUAAAGCUACCAAUUAAGGAUCAAACUGUAAAAUAAACAGAAUUGAAAGGCUGAAUUUAAAGAUCUAAAACACUCAAAAGGACUAAAUUAAAUUGCGCGCAACAUGAGGAGGAUCAAAAUGGAAAUUAAUCCCAUCUUCCAAAACGCUGCGCAGCAACACUAACCAAAUUGAAACAGUAAUAAAAUAUUUUGCUUAAUUUAAAAGAAAUAAAAAACAAUUUUAAAGCACUGUAAAACAAAAGGGAUCAAUUGCGCAAAUUAUCCAUUUGAGAAAAAUGAGCGGAUCCUCCCCGGGUCGGAUCGGGUCGCACACGGGCAUAGGCAAUACGGCGCCGUUUUGGGGCCACUGAAACAGGCCCCAAACGACGUCGUUUAACGACAUAUAUAAGCCCAAACUUGGAACCCUAAAACACCACUCCUCUGCCAUUUCAACUGUUUGUGCCUCAGCCUUCCUUUCUCUGCCGUUCUCCCAACUCCGACCAGAUAACGACGAACGAGGGCGCCCGACGACGGAGCGUGCGUGUGUGAGCGGAGAGCACGCGAAGUGCGGGACUACCACGACGUGGGGCGUGCGCGGCGCUGGAAGUUACUGCGACGUGGAGAGCAUGUACGGCGCAGGGCAAAUUAGGGUUCUUAGGAUCAUCUUAGGAUUAGGUUAAUUGGGUUAGGCUAGAUUUGGGCUUGAAUGAAUGAAAUUGGGCUAUUUUGGGCCGCAUGUAUUUGGUUUAUUGGGCUGUACAAAUGAUUUUGGGCCCCGGGCAACAAUUGGGUAUCACAAAGAUGACAGCUAGAAGUUACAGUAUAAUAUUUGUGGAACUUUAGAAUUGGAAGAAUAUGAUAAUAAUGAAUAGUUCGUGUUAGAAUAGAUGAGAACAGAUGGAAAUUGUUGAUGUGAAGGUGAUCAUUUGAAGCAGCUUUAGAAGAAAAGUUGAUGAGAUUUAUUUUUCAA